rnacentral:rRNA from 1 species
CUACGGGUUGCAGCAGUGGGGAAUAUUGCACAAUGGGCGCAAGCCUGAUGCAGCCAUGCCGCGUGUAUGAAGAAGGCCUUCGGGUUGUAAAGUACUUUCAGCGGGGAGGAAGGGAGUAAAGUUAAUACCUUUGCUCAUUGACGUUACCCGCAGAAGAAGCACCGGCUAACUCCGUGCCAGCAGCCGCGGUAAUACGGAGGGUGCAAGCGUUAAUCGGAAUUACUGGGCGUAAAGCGCACGCAGGCGGUUUGUUAAGUCAGAUGUGAAAUCCCCGGGCUCAACCUGGGAACUGCAUCUGAUACUGGCGAGCUUGAGUCUCGUAGAGGGGGGUAGAAUUCCAGGUGUAGCGGUGAAAUGCGUAGAGAUCUGGAGGAAUACCGGUGGCGAAGGCGGCCCCCUGGACGAAGACUGACGCUCAGGUGCGAAAGCGUGGGGAGCAAACAGGAUUAGAUACCCUAGUAGUC